rnacentral:misc_RNA from 1 species
GAUGAAGAACGUAGCGAAAUGCGAUAAGUAAUGUGAAUUGCAGAAUCCAGUGAAUCAUCGAAUCUUUGAACGCACAUUGCGCCCGCCAGCAUUCUGGCGGGCAUGCCUGUUCGAGCGUCAUUUCAACCCUCGACCUCCCUUUGGGGAAGUCGGCGUUGGGGACCGGCAGCACACCGCCGGCCCUGAAAUGGAGUGGCGGCCCGUCCGCGGCGACCUCUGCGUAGUAAACCAACUCGCACCGGAACCCCGACGUGGCCACGCCGUAAAACACCCAACUUCUGAACGUUGACCUCGGAUCAGGUAGGGAUACCCGCUGAACUUAAGCAUAUCAAUAAGCGGAGGA